GAGUUUGAUCCUGGCUCAGAUUGAACGCUGGCGGCGUGCUUAACACAUGCAAGUCGAGCGGUAACAGGCGUAGCAAUACGUGCUGACGAGCGGCGAACGGGUGAGUAAUGCUUCGGAAUCUUCCUCGUAGUGGGGAAUAACCUGGGGAAACUCAGGCUAAUACCGCAUACGAACUACGGUUGAAAGCAGGGGAUCGCAAGACCUUGCGCUAUGAGAUGAGCCGAAGUCGGAUUAGCUAGUUGGUGAGGUAACGGCUCACCAAGGCGACGAUCCGUAGCUGGUCUGAGAGGACGACCAGCCACACUGGGACUGAGACACGGCCCAGACUCCUACGGGAGGCAGCAGUGGGAAGUAG
rnacentral:rRNA from 1 species